rnacentral:rRNA from 1 species
CAGCAGCCGCGGGAAUACGAGGGGGGCAAGCGUUGUUCGGAAUUAUUGGGCGUAAAGGGUGCGUAGGCGGCUUGACAAGUCUUGUGUGAAAUCUAUGGGCUCAACCCAUAGUCUGCACGGGAAACUGUCGGGCUUGAGAAUGGGAGAGGUGAGUGGAAUUUCCGGUGUAGCGGUGAAAUGCGUAGAUAUCGGAAGGAACACCUGUGGCGAAAGCGGCUCACUGGACCAUUUCUGACGCUGAUGCACGAAAGCUAGGGGAGCAAACAGGAUUAGAUACCCGCGUAGUCCCUGUCUCUUAUAC